rnacentral:rRNA from 1 species
AUUGAACGCUGGCUGCAUGCUUUACACAUGCAAGUCGAACGGUAACAGCACUUCGGUGGCUGACGAGUGGCGAACGGGUGAGUAAUACAUCGGAACGUGCCUAGUAGUGGGGGAUAACUACUCGAAAGAGUAGCUAAUACCGCAUGAGAUCUAAGGAUGAAAGCAGGGGACCUUCGGGCCUUGCGCUACUAGAGCGGCUGAUGGCAGAUUAGGUAGUUGGUGGGAUAAAAGCUUACCAAGCCGACGAUCUGUAGCUGGUCUGAGAGGACGACCAGCCACACUGGGACUGAGACACGGCCCAGACUCCUACGGGAGGCAGCAGUGGGGAAUUUUGGACAAUGGGCGCAAGCCUGAUCCAGCAAUGCCGCGUGCAGGAUGAAGGCCUUCGGGUUGUAAACUGCUUUUGUACGGAACGAAAAGCCCUCUUCUAAUACAGGAGGGUCAUGACGGUACCGUAAGAAUAAGCACCGGCUAACUACGUG